AAAUUGAACGGCGAUGGAGUUCGCCUAACGCUGCCAAGCUGAUGACUCCUACCUUUGU
rfam:Desulfotomaculum nigrificans CO-1-SRB chromosome, complete genome.